rnacentral:tRNA from 1 species
GCCGAAAUAGUUUAGGAGGUUAAAACAUGUCACUCAUAACGACAUAAGAAAGGUUCGAUCCCUUUUUUCGGCU